ACGUAAGUGCGAUUGAUUUAGCGGCCGCCGUUCGCUCUUGUGCCAGCAGCCGCGUAAUUCCAGCUCCAAUAGCGUAUAUUAAAGUUGUUGCGGUUAAAAAGCUCGCAGUUGAACCUUGGGCCUGGCUGGCCGGUCCGCCUCACCGCGUGCACUGGUCCGGCCGGGCCUUUCCCUCUGUGGAACCCCAUACCCUUCACUGGGCGUGGCGGGGAAACAGGACAUUUACUUUGAAAAAAUUAGAGUGCUCCAGGCAGGCCUAUGCUCGAAUACAUUAGCAUGGAAUAAUAAAAUAGGACGCGCGGUUCUAUUUUGUUGGUUUAUAGGACCGCCGUAAUGAUUAAUAGGGACAGUCGGGGGCAUCAGUAUUCAACUGUCAGAGGUGAAAUUCUUGGAUCAGUUGAAGACUAACUACUGCGAAAGCAUUUGCCAAGGAUGUUUUCAUCAAUCAGGAACGAGAGUUAGGGGAAAAGAAGACGAUCAGAGGCCGUGGGUGAAAUAACAAAUAAACGGGGGCGGGGGGGGGGGGGGAUUUAUUUAUUUGUGCCGCAGAAGAAAAAAAAAGGAUGUUUGGCCUGGGGGGAAAAAAAAAAAAAAGACAAAAUUUUAAAAUUUGGGGUUCCCCCGGGCGGGGGCCCCUGUUUUUCUUUUUUUUUUUAGUAGGGAAACCCCGCACCCCCCAACCGAAAGAAAAUGGGAGGCCCGCCUUUUGUUAUUUUUUAUUGUAGAAGGACCCCGGCUCUUGCUUGUUUUUGUGUUUGGUUUUUUUUGGUAAAAAAAAAAAAAAAAGCAACACAA
rnacentral:rRNA from 1 species